UACGUAAGGCGCAAGCGUUAUCCGGAAUUAUUGGGCGUAAAGAGCUCGUAGGCGGUUUGUCGCGUCUGCUGUGAAAGACCGGGGCUCAACUCCGGUUCUGCAGUGGGUACGGGCAGACUAGAGUGCAGUAGGGGAGACUGGAAUUCCUGGUGUAGCGGUGAAAUGCGCAGAUAUCAGGAGGAACACCGAUGGCGAAGGCAGGUCUCUGGGCAGUAACUGACGCUGAGGAGCGAAAGCGUGGGGAGCGAACAGG
rnacentral:rRNA from 1 species